AGCUCCACAAGCAUAUAUUAACGUUGUUGCGGUUAAAAGGCUCGUAGUCAAACUUGUGAUAUUUCUUUCUUAUUCGGCAACUAGUUUGUUGAUUUAGAGAGAAAUAUCAUCCAUUUAAUUAUUACCUCGGCUCUUCGUUGGGUUGGAUGUAAUUCUUAAAUCUUUUACUGUGAAUAAAUCAAAGUGUUCAAGGCAGGCUUUAUGCUCGAAUGUUUUAGCAUGGAAUAAUUCUAUAUGGCUUAUUACUAAUUUGGCUUUUUAGUUCGUAAGCAAUGAUUGAGAGAAAUAGUUGGGGGUGCUUGUACUUAGCGGUCAGCGGUGAAAUGCUAAGACCCGUUAAUGACAAUCUACUGCGAAAGCAUUCACCAAGGAUAGUUUCUUUGAUCAAGAACGAAAGUAC
rnacentral:rRNA from 1 species